GCUGGCGGGAUGCUUUACACAUGCAAGUCGAACGGCAGCACGGACUUCGGUCUGGUGGCGAGUGGCGAACGGGUGAGUAAUGUAUCGGAACGUGCCUAGUAGCGGGGGAUAACUACGCGAAAGCGUAGCUAAUACUGCAUACGCCCUUCGGGGAAAGCGGGGGGACCUUCGGGCCUCGCACUAUUAGAGCGGCCGAUAUCGGAUUAGCUAGUUGGUGGGUAACGGCUCACCAAGGCGACGAUCCGUAGCUGGUUUGAGAGGACGACCAGCCACACUGGGACUGAGACACGGCCCAGACUCCUACGGGAGGCAGCAGUGGGGAAUUUGGACAAUGGGGAAACCCUGAUCCAGCCAUCCCGCGUGUGCGAUGAAGGCUUUCGGGUUGCAAAGCACUUUUGGCAGGAAAAGAAAACGGCACGGGAUAAUACCCCGUGCAACUGACGGUACCUGCAGAAUAAGCACCUGCUAACUACGUGCCAGCAGCCGCGGUAAUACGUAGGGGUGCAAGCGUUAAUCGGAAUUACUGGGCGUAAAGGGCGCAGGCGGUUCGGAAAAAGAAAGAUGUGAAAUCCCAGAGCUUAACUUUGAACUGCAUUUUUAACUACCGAGCUAGAGUGUGUCAGAGGGAGGUGGAAUUCCGCGUAGCAGUGAAAUGCGUAGAUAUGCGGAGAACACCUACGGCGAAGGCAGCCUCCUGGGAUAACACUGACGCUCAUGCACGAAAGCGUUGGGGAGCAAACAGGAUUAGAUACCCCGUAGUCCACGCCCUAAACGAUGUCAACUAGCUGUUGGGGCCUUUCAACAGUAGCGCAGCUAACGCGUGAAGUUGACCGCCUGGGAGUACGGUCGCAAGAUUAAACUCAAAGGAAUUGACGGGGACCCGCACAAGCGGUGGAUGAUGUGGAUUAAUUCGAUGCAACGCGAAAAACCUUACCUACCCUUGACAUGUCUGGAAUCCCGAAGAGAUUUGGGAGUGCUCGCAAGAGAACCGGAACACAGGUGCUGCAUGGCUGUCGUCAGCUCGUGUCGUGAGAUGUUGGGUUAAGUCCCGCAACGAGCGCAACCCUUGUCAUUAGUUGCUACGAAAGGGCACUCUAAUGAGACUGCCGGUGACAAACCGGAGGAAGGUGGGGAUGACGUCAAGUCCUCAUGGCCCUUAUGGGUAGGGCUUCACACGUCAUACAAUGGUCGGGACAGAGGGUCGCCAACCCGCGAGGGGGAGCCAAUCCCAGAAACCCGAUCGUAGUCCGGAUCGCAGUCUGCAACUCGACUGCGUGAAGUCGGAAUCGCUAGUAAUCGCGGAUCAGCAUGUCGCGGUGAAUACGUUCCCGGGUCUUGUACACACCGCCCGUCACACCAUGGGAGUGGGUUUUACCAGAAGUAGUUAGCCUAACCGUAAGGAGGGCGAUUACCACGGUAGGAUUCAUGACUGGGGUGAAGUCGUAACAAGGUAA
rnacentral:rRNA from 1 species